CGGGGGAUCGCAAGACCUCGCGCGAAUGGAGCGGCCGAUGUCAGAUUAGGUAGUUGGUGGGGUAAAGGCUCACCAAGCCGACGAUCUGUAGCUGGUCUGAGAGGACGACCAGCCACACUGGGACUGAGACACGGCCCAGACUCCUACGGGGAGGCAGCAGGUGGGGUAAUUUUUGGACAAUGGGCGCAAGCCUGAUCCAGCCAUUCCGCGUGCAGGAUGAAGGCCGUUCGGGUUAGUAAAUUGUCUUUUGUACGGAAACGAAACGGUUCUCUCUAAUACAGGGGGCUAAUGACGGUACCGUAAGAAUAAGCACCGGCUAACUACGUG
rnacentral:rRNA from 1 species